rnacentral:rRNA from 1 species
AGCGAACGCUGGCGGCAGGCUUAACACAUGCCAGUCGAGCGGGCACUUUCGGGUGUCAGCGGCGGACGGGUGAGUAACGCGUGGGAACGUGCCCUCUGGUUCGGAAUAACUCAGGGAAACUUGAGCUAAUACCGGAUACGCCCUUUUGGGGAAAGGCUUGCUGCCGGAGGAUCGGCCCGCGUCUGAUUAGCUAGUUUGUGAGGUAACGGCUCAACAAGGCGACGAUCAGUAGCUGGUCUGAGAGGAUGAUCAGACACACUGGGACUGAGACACGGCCCAGACUCCUACGGGAGGCAGCAGUGGGGAAUAUUGGACAAGGGGCGCAAGCCUGAUCCAGCCAUGCCGCGUGAGUGAUGAAGGCCUUAGGGUUGUAAAGCUCUUUUAUCCGGGACGAUAAUGACGGUACCGGAGGAAUAAGCCCCGGCUAACUUCGUG